rnacentral:rRNA from 1 species
UACGUAGGGGGCAAGCGUUAUCCGGAAUCAUUGGGCGUAAAGCGCGUGUAGGCGGUUCCGUAAGUCCGCUCUGAAAGCCCAGGGCUCAACCCUGGGAGGCGGGUGGAUACUACGGAACUGGAGUACGGAAGAGGAGAUUGGAAUUCCUGGUGUAGCGGUGAAAUGCGCAGAUAUCAGGAGGAACACCAACAGCGAAGGCAGAUCUCUGGAACGCAACUGACGCUGAGACGCGAAAGCGUGGGGAGCAAACAGG